AGCUCCUCCUCUCUACCCUAGGAUUAGGUAGCUCCUCCUCUCUACCCUAGGAUUAGGAAGUACCUCCUCUCUACCCUAGGGUUAGGUAGCUCCUCCUCUCUACCCUAGGGUUAGGUAGCCCCUCCUCUUUACCCUAUGGUUAGGUAGCUCCUCCUCUCUACCCUAGGGUUAGGGUUAGGUAGCCCCUCCUCUUUACCCUAGGGUUAGGUAGCUCCUCCUCUCUACCCUAGGGUUAGGUAGCUCCUCCUCUCUACCCUAGGGUUAGGUAGCUCCUCCUCUCUACCUGGGGUUAGGGUUAGGUAACUCAUCCUCUCUACCCUAGGGUUAGGGUUAGGGUUAGGUAGCUCCUCCUCUCUACCCUAGGGUUAGGUAGCUCCUCCUCUCUACCCAAGGGUUAGGUAGCUCCUCCUCUCUACCCAAGGGUUAGGGUUAGGUAGCUCCUCCUCUCUACCCUAGGGUUAGGUAGCUCCUCCUCUCUACCCAAGGGUUAGUUAGCUCCUCCUCUCUACCCAAGGGUUAGGGUUAAGUAUCUCCUCCUCUCUACCCAAGGGUUAGGUAGCUCCUUCUCUCUACCCUAGGGUUAGGUAGCUCUUCCUCUCUACCCUAGGGUUAGGUAGCUGUAGUUCCUCCUCUCUACCCUGGGGUUAGGUAGCUCCUCCUCUCUACCCAAAGGUUAGGGUUAGGUAGCUCCUCCUCUCUACCCUAGGGUUAGGUAGCUGUAGUUCCUCCUCUCUACCCAAGGGUUAGGUAGCUGUAGUUCCUCCUCUCUACCCAAGGGUUAGG
ensembl:lncRNA